GUCGGCACNNGUAGAGCAUGCGACUGAAAAUCGCAGUGUCGACAGUUCAAUUCUGUCUCUCGGCACCA
rnacentral:tRNA from 1 species